UACUUAGGGAUCUGUCCUUGAGCGGGGGAUAACCAUUGGAAACGAUGGCUAAUACCGCAUAACGUCUACGGACCAAAGGGGGCUUCGGCUCUCGCUCGAGGAGGAACCUAAGCGAGAUUAGCUUGUUGGUGAGGUAAAGGCUCACCAAGGCGACGAUCUCUAGCUGUUCUGAGAGGAAGAUCAGCCACACUGGGACUGAGACACGGCCCAGACUCCUACGGGAGGCAGCAGUGGGGAAUAUUGCACAAUGGGGGAAACCCUGAUGCAGCCAUGCCGCGUGUGUGAAGAAGGCCUGGUUGU
rnacentral:rRNA from 1 species